rnacentral:rRNA from 1 species
AAUUGUUCGCAAUGGGCGCAAGCCUGACGACGCAACGCCGCGUGGAGGAUGAAGAUUUUCGGAUCGUAAACUCCUGUCGAAUGGGACGAAUAGGUUGCGGGUUAACAGCCCGUAAUCCUGACGGUACCGUUAAAGGAAACCCCGGCUAACUCCGUGCCAGCAGCUGCGGUAAUACGGGGGGGGUAAGCGUUGUUCGGAAUUACUGGGCGUAAAGGGCUCGUAGGCGGCCAACUAAGUCAUACGUGAAAUCCCUCAGCUUAACUGGGGAACUGCGUGUGAUACUGGAUGGCUUGGAUUUGGGAGAGGGAUGCGGAAUUCCAGGUGUAGCGGUGAAAUGCGUAGAUAUCUGAAGGAACAUCAGUGGCGAAAGCGACUUCCUGGACCAAUACUGACGCUCAUGUGCGAAAGCGUGGGGAGCAAAC